GAAAUGCGAUAAGUAAUGUGAAUUGCAGAAUUCCGUGAAUCAUCGAAUCUUUGAACGCAUAUUGCGCCCCUUGGUAUUCCAUGGGGCAUGCCUGUUCGAGCGUCAUUUGUACCCUCAAGCUCUGCUUGGUGUUGGGUGUUUGUCCCGUCUCCGCGCGUGGACUCGCCCCAAAGUGAUUGGCAGCCGGCGUACUGGUCCCGGAGCGCAGCACAUGUCGCGCAAACGAGUGCCUUGGUACGGCGGCGUCCAUAAGCCCCUCUCUCACGCUCUUGACCUCGGAUCAGGUAGGGAUACCCGCUGAACUUAAGC
rnacentral:misc_RNA from 1 species